CAAUAGAAAUCCAGCAUGUGUGGCUUCCAGUGAGCCGAUUCCAUCCUGGGAGGCUGCUUAUAUCUCUUCACAAUAUUCACAGUAAUAACAAAGAGAGAAAGGAAAGCCAGUUCCAGCCUCUUCUUUCUGCUUCUGCCACCUUUUGCUUUCUGCUAGACAACUGAAUAUCGACCGGAUGAACGCAUUCCCAAAGAUGGCCAUCUCUCCUCUGCAAACAAGCAAACUACAGUGGAAAAAGGGGCAAUAAACAAAGCUGUAAAUCAAUUAAAACAACAACAACAAACAACCAAACGAAGAGAAAAGCUCUCUGUCUGCUUGCAGUGGGAUGUAGUGCGGAGCAGCUACCCAUGUUACUGCUUUGUGCUUCAGCACAACAUGGGAACCACGGCAUGGCAGAGCGGCCCUACAGAAACCCAGCAUGCAGCUCCUACGUGUGUCUGUGCCUCAGAGAACUCUCUGCUAGAAGUUCAUUCGCCUCCGACGGUUCGAGGGCAGGUCUGCUUAAUAUAGAAAUCUCUUCAUAUAGUGUAUGCAAAUCCUACAGCGUUUAAGCGGAGAGGAAAUUCUCCUUUUGCUAAUAACUGCAGCAGGCCACGCCGAGUUCAGCGGGGUUGUGCCUCCUUUAAUCUAGGGAGUGGGUGGCUUUUAAACAACACGGUGAAAAAUGAGGGGAGCUCUCAGUGCUGCGCUUGGAGCUUUUGUCCCUCCUUGGGCAGGAAGCUGCCGGAGUCGCCGUGUCGUGAGCCUGAGCUUUCCUACAAAAACACCGGGUGGUCACGAACUUUCCCCAGUUCCCCCCAGCACGGGGGGCUCCCUUGCAGGAAAAAAAGGAAAAACAAACAACGGAGCCCCAGGCUUCCCCCAUUUAAUAAAGCUGCCGGUGACCACAGGAUAAAAUAAAAAGCUCCUCGAGA